UACGGAGGAUGCGAGCGUUAUCCGGAUUUAUUGGGUUUAAAGGGUGCGCAGGCGGAAUGUCAAGUCAGCGGUAAAAUUUCGGGGCUCAACCCCGUCGUGCCGUUGAAACUGGGUGCCUUGAGUGGGCGAGAAGUACGCGGAAUGCGUGGUGUAGCGGUGAAAUGCAUAGAUAUCACGCAGAACUCCGAUUGCGAAGGCAGCGUACCGGCGCCCAACUGACGCUGAGGCACGAAAGCGUGGGGAUCGAACAGG
rnacentral:rRNA from 1 species